GGUUAGGGGUAGGGUUUGUGGUUGGGGUAGGUUUAGGGGUUGGGGUAGGGUUAGGGUUAGUGGUUGUGUAGGGUUAGGGUAGGGGUAGGGUAACCCUACCGCUCACCCUAUGCUAACCCUAACCUUACCCCUAACCCUACCAUAACCCUACUCCUAACCCUAACCCUGAUCCUAAUGCAACCCUACCCCUAACCUGACCACUAGCCCUACCCUAACUCUACCCCAAACCCUACCUCUAACCCUAACCUUACCCCUAACC